AGUGAACGCUGGCGGUAGGCCUAACACAUGCAAGUCGAACGGCAGCACAGUAAGAGCUUGCUCUUACGGGUGGCGAGUGGCGGACGGGUGAGGAAUACAUCGGAAUCUACUUUUUCGUGGGGGAUAACGUAGGGAAACUUACGCUAAUACCGCAUACGACCUACGGGUGAAAGCAGGGGAUCUUCGGACCUUGCGCGAUUGAAUGAGCCGAUGUCGGAUUAGCUAGUUGGCGGGGUAAAGGCCCACCAAGGCGACGAUCCGUAGCUGGUCUGAGAGGAUGAUCAGCCACACUGGAACUGAGACACGGUCCAGACUCCUACGGGAGGCAGCAGUGGGGAAUAUUGGACAAUGGGCGAAAGCCUGAUCCAGCCAUACCGCGUGGGUGAAGAAGGCCUUCGGGUUGUAAAGCCCUUUUGUUGGGAAAGAAAAGCAGCAGGUUAAUACCUCGCUGUUCUGACGGUACGCAAAGAAUAAGCACCGGCUAACUUCGUG
rnacentral:rRNA from 1 species